AACGAACGCUGGCGGCAGGCCUAACACAUGCAAGUCGAGCGAGAUCUUCGGGUCUAGCGGCGGACGGGUGAGUAACGCGUGGGAAUAUGCCCCUUGGUACGGAAUAGCCUCGGGAAACUGGGAGUAAUACCGUAUGUGCCCUUUGGGGGAAAGAUUUAUCGCCAAGAGAUUAGCCCGCGUUGGAUUAGGUAGUUGGUGGGGUAAUGGCCUACCAAGCCGACGAUCCAUAGCUGGUUUGAGAGGAUGAUCAGCCACACUGGGACUGAGACACGGCCCAGACUCCUACGGGAGGCAGCAGUGGGGAAUCUUAGACAAUGGGGGCAACCCUGAUCUAGCCAUGCCGCGUGAGUGAUGAAGGCCUUAGGGUUGUAAAGCUCUUUCAGCUGGGAAGAUAAUGACGGUACCAGCAGAAGAAGCCCCGGCUAACUCCGUG
rnacentral:rRNA from 1 species